CAAGACCAAACCCCUCUUGGAGCUCCAGACGAGGUGAAGUUUGCCUUAGACAUUGUGGUCCUGUAUUGUAGCUUUGCAACAGUUUGCUUCCCUACUUAUCCUGUAUUAGGUUCCUUCCUCUACAUAGUUCAUUGGUCUAUCAUGAUCCCAUUUCAAUUUAAUUGGCCAUGGAGCUUUCUCAUUCUAGUGUCUUCUAAUUCUUAGUUCUGGUGCAAGUGUCUGGUUUGAAGUCCAUCACAUCUAAACACCUGGCAUUGGCAAGUCAAGUAAUUAGUUUCGUACAUGUUAUUAUUCCUGGUUCAAACUCACUCACCUAAAUGAAGUUUUUAAUGCGUUUUCUCUGGGAUGUAUUGAGUUCUCUUAGGAGAAACCAACUAAUGAGCAAAAGAAGUUUAGCCAUGUUACUCCAUUAAUUUUAGCAUUAGCGGAUGAAGUGUCAACCCGUGGUUAUCUUUCUUUAGAAGUCAUUGAGCAGGUUGAAGGUGAGGUCCAGCGAUUAAAUGUUGUCAAAGCCAGUAAGAUGAAACAUUUGAUGUUUAAGAGGCAGAAUGAGCUUAAAGAAUUUUACAGAGGAGUUCACAUGGUUUGAAGGAAUUACAGAGUUUCCUUGAUAACUUGGAUUCAUCACGAGGCGCGUCACCCUAAGAUCCCC
rnacentral:sRNA from 1 species